rnacentral:rRNA from 1 species
AUACGGAGGAUGCAAGCGUUAUCCGGAUUUAUUGGGUUUAAAGGGAGCGCAGGCGGAGAUGCAAGCGUGACGUCAAAUUUCGGGGCUCAACCCCGUCUUGCGUCGCGAACUGCGUCCCUUGGUUGCGGGAAGGGGAGGCGGAACUCGUGGUGUAGCGGUGAAAUGCAUAGAUAUCACGAAGAACUCCGAUCGCGAAGGCAGCCUUCCGGCCCGUCAACGACGCUCAUGCUCGAAGGUGCGGGUAUCAAACAGGAUUAGAUACCCUGGUAGUCCGCACAGUAAACGAUGGACACCCGCGGUUUGGCCUGUAUGGCUGAGCCGCCAAGCGAAAGCGUUAAGUGUCCCACCUGGGGAGUACGCCGGCAACGGUGAAACUCAAAGGAAUUGGCGGGG